AUGCUUGGGACUGAAUGUUGUCCGAAUUCCUUAUGGCACUACUACGUUUGGAUAUAUGCGUUUCUUCCAGGUUUCAAUAAACUAUACAUUGUUGGGCUAGCAGCAAUUUGCUGGGCAAUUUGGCUCGCUCGUAAUCGUGCCACAUUUGAGCGCAAAUGGAUAAAUAUUCCUUUUGAAGUUGUGUUUACAUCGUGUGCAUUUCUGAAUUAUUGGGCAGGUUUACAGAAGCUUGGGAUGAUGGAGGUGGUGAAGAAGGGAGCGGAGAUGCUGAAGGAGAACGCCUCCCAGAUGUUGUUGCUGUGUGGUCCACCGUCCCUUGAUGAGGAUGAACGCAAGGAUAGCUGA
rnacentral:rRNA from 1 species